rnacentral:rRNA from 1 species
UAGAAGUCGUAACAAGGUCUCCGUUGGUGAACCAGCGGAGGGAUCAUUACCGAGUUUACAACUCCCAAACCCAAUGUGAACGUUACCAAACUGUUGCCUCGGCGGGGUCACGCCCCGGGUGCGUCGCAGCCCCGGAACCAGGCGCCCGCCGGAGGAACCAACCAAACUCUUUCUGUAGUCCCCUCGCGGACGUAUUUCUUUACAGCUCUGAGCAAAAAUUCAAAAUGAAUCAAAACUUUCAACAACGGAUCUCUUGGUUCUGGCAUCGAUGAAGAACGCAGCGAAAUGCGAUAAGUAAUGUGAAUUGCAGAAUUCAGUGAAUCAUCGAAUCUUUGAACGCACAUUGCGCCCGCCAGUAUUCUGGCGGGCAUGCCUGUCCGAGCGUCAUUUCAACCCUCGAACCCCUCCGGGGGAUCGGCGUUGGGGAUCGGGACCCCUCACACGGGUGCCGGCCCCUAAAUACAGUGGCGGUCUCGCCGCAGCCUCUCCUGCGCAGUAGUUUGCACAACUCGCACCGGGAGCGCGGCGCGUCCACGUCCGUAAAACACCCAACUUUCUGAAAUGUUGACCUCGGAUCAGGUAGGAAUACCCGCUGAACUUAAGCAUAUCAAUAAGCG